GACGAACGCUGGCGGCGUGCUUAACACAUGCAAGUCGAACGGAAAGGCCCUGCUUUUGUGGGGUGCUCGAGUGGCGAACGGGUGAGUAACACGUGAGUAACCUGCCCUUGACUUUGGGAUAACUUCAGGAAACUGGGGCUCAUACCGGGUAGGAGCUCCUGCUGCAUGGUGGGGGUUGGAAAGUUUCGGCGGUUGGGGAUGGACUCGCGGCUUAUCAGCUUGUUGGUGGGGUAGUGGCUUACCAAGGCUUUGACGGGUAGCCGGCCUGAGAGGGUGACCGGCCACAUUGGGACUGAGAUACGGCCCAGACUCCUACGGGAGGCAGCAGGGGGGAAUAUUGCACAAUGGGCGGAAGCCUGAUGCAGCAACGCCGCGUGCGGGAUGACGGCCUUCGGGUUGUAAACCGCUUUCGCCUGUGACGAAGCGUGAGUGACGGUAAUGGGUAAAGAAGCACCGGCUAACUACGUG
rnacentral:rRNA from 1 species